CGCAUCUGUGCAUGCAGCAUAUCAAUAAGCGGAGGAAAAGAAACUAACAAGGAUUCCCCUAGUAACGGCGAGUGAAGCGGGAAGAGCUCAAAUUUGAAAUCUUAAAGGGUUUCCCUUUACGAAUUGUAGUUUAAAGAAGUGUUUUCUGUUGAGGUUUUGGUAAAAGUUCUUUGGAAUAGGACAUCAUAGAGGGUGAGAAUCCCGUAUUUGACCUUUACUUUCAACUUUGUGAUACACUUUCAAAGAGUCGGAUUGUUUGGGAAUGCAGUCCAAAAUGGGUGGUAAAUUUCAUCUAAAGCUAAAUAUUGGCGAGAGACCGAUAGCGAACAAGUACCGUGAGGGAAAGAUGAAAAGAACUUUGAAAAGAGAGUUAAACAGUACGUGAAAUUGUCAAAAGGGAAGCGUUUGACACCAGUGUUGUUUUUCUGAAAAUCAAUUAAAGAACUGUUUAUGCUAAGUUGUUUAGACUUUAUCAGCUAUCUGUUUAGUUUUAGGCUUUUCUUUAAUGCACUUUUCAGUUAACAAGUCAACAUCAAUUUCUUUUGCUGUAAAAAAGCUUGAGGAAGGUGGCUUGAGAUUCGUCUUAAGUGUUUAUAGCCUCUUGCCUAUGCAGUCGGAGAGAUUGAGGUCUGCAGCGUAGAUCCUUCGGGGCUAAAUGCAUUUGUGCUAAGUUAUAGCAUUUUAUAGACAACUUGUUGACUAUGAUUUGUCUUGUAGCUUACUCGCUUAUGUUAUUUUACCUACGCUUAGGAUGUUGAACGCGCACAGAGUCUC
rnacentral:rRNA from 1 species